rnacentral:snRNA from 1 species
GUGCUAACUUUAGCAUCACGCAUGCUAAAAUUGAAAGAGUGCAGAGAAGAUCCGAGUGGCCAUUGUACCGGGAUGUCGUGCAGAGUUGCAUGGUGUAGAAUAUUCUU